GCCGGGCCCCUCCCCGCCGCGCCGCGCCGCGCCGCGCGCAGCACCGACCUCGGCCGCCGCCCGCGCCGGAAGGGCGGAGCGCCCGGCAGGGCCCCGCUAGGGCUGCCCGUGGCGUUCGCCUGACCCGCGCCGGCGCGCUCGGGCGGGACCCGGCGGGCGGGACUCGGCGGCCCGCUGCGCGGAAGGACCCCGCCCGGAAGCGGGCGCGCCGCCGCGGGCGCCGCGGCUCCGGGGAGGGGCUCAGCCCAGGGAAGGGGGGCGGCGGCGCUGCCCUCGGAAAUGAGCCCUUUCCUUCCUAAGUAACGCUCGUACUUCGACUGCGCCGGUAGCGGUAUCCUGAAGAAGACGGAAUGUGGGGAAUGUUCCGUAAGCCCUAAGAGCGAACUCCGUGAGCCCGGCACACAGACUUUGGCGGCCGGAGUCGGGAACUGAGAGACAGGGAAGCCCUUCUUCUACGACUCUAGCCCUGAGGAGAGCUGAGACACUGAUGGAAGCAAACGUCCCGGCGCAGAAGCCGCCGAGAACGGGGCGAUAAAGUGUAUGGUCAAGGAGAACAACUGAUUGGGAUGCUGACAAGAACUAAAGCAAAGUGCCCUGUACGGGAGCUCCCCUCGAUACAGCAGUAAAAACCAGGCCCAUAGGCCGGCAACCGCCCCCUCCCUCUAGUAAAUAAGACGGCGGUUUACAGCCAUGAAGCACUCUCUGAGCCAUGUAGACGUCACACCUGGUGACAGGAUUUGUACCGUCCAGCACUAUAUUCGGAGGGUGGGUGACGGGGUCCGUAGUGAAGCAGGGGCGUUUUGGUGCGUAGCUGUACAUAAUCUCACAGAGGGUUCAGUUGGGAAGGGACCUCUGGAGGUCACCCAGUGCAUGCCCCCUGCUCAAGCAGGGCCACCCAGAGCCCACGUCCCAGGCCCGUGUCCAGUUGGGUUUUGACUGUCUCCAAGGAUGGAGACUCCACAACCUCUCUGGGCAGCCUGUGCCAGUGUUUGACCCACCCUCAGAGUAAAGAAUAAAAAACCCAAAACAAACCAGAAA